AUUGAACGCUGGCGGCAGGCCUAACACAUGCAAGUCGAACGAGUGGCGGACGGGUGAGUAAUGUCUGGGAAACUGACCGAUGGAGGGGGAUAACUACUGGAAACGGUAGCUAAUACCGCAUACCAUCGGAUGUGCCCAGAUGGGAUUAGCUAGUAGGUGGGGUAAAGGCUAACCUAGGCGACGAUCCCUAGCUGGUCUGAGAGGAUGACCAGCCACACUGGAACUGAGACACGGGACAGACUCCUACGGGAGGCAGCAGUGGGGAAUAUUGCACAAUGGGCGCAAGCCUGAUGCAGCCAUGCCGCGUGUAUGAAGAAGGCCUUCGGGUUGUAAAGUACUUUCAGCGAGGAGGCGUUACUCGCAGAAGAAGCACCGGCUAACUCCGUGCCAGCCGCCGCGGUAAUUC
rnacentral:rRNA from 1 species